CUGAGUAUCCUCCGACGGCGGUCUCAACUUCGUCUGGGCAGUUAGGCUGAGAUUUGGGGCAUGUCGAGUACGGCCGACUCGACCGUACCAACUUCGGCCGUCCUUACGGCGGCCUCCAAGCACAUUGCUUCGCGGUGUCGGGUACAAACCGGAGAAAUGCCACGAUCAGGGACGGCAGGCCACUAGCCGUGUCCUAAAUCUAAAAAACAAAUCGCUUUUUGACAUCUCUUCUAUUGUCUCUUCUUGAUAAUUAUUUCCCAAAGUUUCACGGCUGAAGGAUCUUCAUCAGAAGUGUCCUAAAGAAAAGAAAUGGAUGUACAUGCGAGCAGCGAGCUGUAUGUAUCACGACGCCAAUGAGUCCGAUCUGUGUCACAAAGAGCAGGAAGCAUUUGAGAA